UCCGUGCCCCUGGAGCAGUGGAUAUUGCAGACCCGUGAAUUCAGGAAUUCAGUUUCCCCCCAAGAAGUCUCGCUCCCUUUGAGUGAAGAAACCCCCCCGGAUACCCAUGACGGCAGGACUCUGACCUGGCCUGGGAGUGAGCUGAGUGAGGCUGAAGUGUCACCUCCUGCCAACCCGGACGCAGACGCAGGCUGAAGGGAAAACGCUGCGAUCCCACCACUG